AAAGCCUCAGGCGAGAGUUGAACAGCAACACUUGAUCACCAACCUUAAAAUCUCUUGAGACUAUCUUCUUAUCAUGGAAAGACUUGGUUCGCUCCUUGUAGAUUUUGGAACUCUCAUAGGCUUCUAAGCGAAUCUCGUUGAGAUCGUUCAGUUGGAUCAACCGCUUCUCCUCGGCGGUUUUAAUGUCGAAGUUCAGGAGUUUAACUGCCCACAUGGCUUUAUACUCGAGUUCAACAGGCAAAUGACAGGAUUUUCCAUAGAGGAGGUUGAAAGGAGUCGUGCCAAUAGGGGUCUUGAAGGCUGUUCUGUAAGCCCAUAGUGCGUCAUCGAGCUUAGCAGACCAAUCUUUCCUUGUACUUCCCACAAUUUUCUCUAAAAUUGCUUUUAUCUCCCUGUUGGAGAUUUCCACCUGCCCGCUCGUCUGUGGAUGAUAAGGAGUGGCGACCUUGUGCUUUACUCCAUGCUUCUUCAAAAGGUUCUAAAAAACCUUGUUGAUAAAAUGUUUCCCUCCGUCACUGAUCACAAUUCUCGGGACUCCAAAUCUAGGAAAGAUAAUUGUCUUGAACAGCUUUAGCACAACUCUAGCAUCAUUGGUGGGGCUGGCUAUGGCUUCCACCCAUUUUGAUACAUAGUCUACUGCGACCAGUAUGUACUUGUUCCCGUAAGAGGAAGGAAACGGACCCAUAAAAUCAAUUCCCCAAACGUCAAAGAUCUCAACUUCUAAUAUCGGAUUCUGAGGCAUCUCAUUCCUUCUGCUGAUGUUCCCUCUUCUCUGACAUGAAUCACAUUUCGAGAUAAAUUCCUGAGCAUCCUUAAACAUUGAUGGCCACCAAAAACCAGCUUGCAGGAUUUUCGACACUGUCUUGAACGUUGCGAAGUGGCCACCAUAGGCAGACCCAUGGCAAUGCAAUAGGAUGCCUUCGAUUUCGUCUUCUGAGACGCAUCUCCUGUAGAUCUUAUCUUUGCAGAGUGUGUAGAGAUAAGGUUCGUCCCAGUAGAAAUGGUUAAUGUCCUUGAAGAACUUCUUCUUCUCAUAGCUCGACAGAUUCGGAGGCUCCUCACCACUAACCAAGUAGUUGACGUGAUCAGCAUACCACGGAAGCUUUUCUUCAAUUGUACAUACUUGAUCGAGUGAUUUCCGAAUUUGUGCACUCUCGUUAAGUUGCUGAAUUGCUAUUAGCUGUUCUUCUGGCAUGGAGUCGUCAAUAGGGACCUCGUCUUCAAUCCUCAUCCUAGACAGAUGAUCAGCUACACCGUUUUCAAUUCCCUUCUUAUCAACUAUCUCCAUAUCAAACUCUUGGAGCAAUAAGAUCCAUCUCAACAGCCUAGGUUUGGUAUCCUUCUUCGCGUAUAUAUGCCUCAGAGCAGCAUGAUCAGUGUAGACUGUCACUUUAGAACCCACUAGGUAGCUUCUAAAUUUUUCAAAUGCAAAUACCACAGCUAGCAGUUCCUUCUCUGUAGUGGCAUACCUUACUUGUGUAUCAUCCAUCGUUCUGCUCGCGUAGUAGAUCACAUGCAGCUUUUUAUCAAUCCGCUGGCCCAAGACUGCUCCUACUGCGUAAUCUGAAGCAUCGCACAUGAUCUCGAAUGGGAAGUCCCAGUUUGGAGCUUGGACUAUUGGUGCAGUGAUCAAAGCUUCCUUGAUUAACUUAAAGGCUGUCAAACAUUCGUCAUCAAAUGCAAACUCGGUUUCCUUGCACAGUAGUCUGGUGAGCGGUCUUGCCAACUUGGAGAAAUCUUUGAUGAAUCUUCUGUAAAAUCCUGCAUGUCCAAGAAAACUCCUGAUGUCUUUGACAGUUUUGGGUGGCUGUAACUGCAUCAUCACGUCAACCUUAGCCUUAUCAACCUCUAUUCCCUCUUCCGAAAUUUUGUGGCCCAAAACGAUGCCUUCUCUAACCAUGAAAUGGCAUUUCUCCCAGUUCAGCACUAGGUUUGUCUCUUCACAUCUUUUAAGUACCCUGCACAGGUUCAACAAACACGAGGAGAAGGAAGAGCCAUACACAGAAAAAUCAUCCAUGAAUACCUCUACCAUCUCCUCUAUCAAAUCCGAGAAAAUAGAAGUCAUACACCGCUGAAAAGUAGCUGGUGCAUUACAGAGACCGAAAGGCAUACGCUUGUAAGCAAAGGUCCCAUAAGGACAAGUGAAAGUGGUUUUUUCUUGGUCAUUUGGGUGAAUAGGGAUUUGAAAAAAUCCGCUAUAACCAUCCAAAAAGCAAUAGUAAGGAUGGUUUGCUAAUCUUUCUAGCAUCUGAUCAAUGAAGGGCAAUGGGAAAUGGUCUUUUCUAGAGGCAGCAUUUAACUUCCUAUAGUCAAUACACAUCCUAUGUCCAGUUAUAGUCCUAGUGGGUAUCAGUUCAUCUUUAGAAUUUUUAACAACUGUCAUACCUCCUUUUUUAGGAACGCAGUGGACUGGAGAUACCCAAGUGCUAUCAGAGAUAGGGUAGAUAACCCCAGCAUCUAAUAGUUUAAGUAUCUCCUUUUUGACAACCUCUUUCAAGUUAGGGUUUAAUCUCCUUUGAGGUUCAAUGCUAGAGUAGGAUUCAUUUUCAAGAUGGAUUCUAUGGGUGCAUAAGGUGGGCGAAAUCCCCUUAAUAUCAUCUAACGAAUAUCCUAUAGCUUUCCUAUACUUCUUGAGCUCGGUUAUCAGCAGGUUUACUUGAUCAGCAGUUAGCCCAUCAUUCACUAUGACAGGAUAAGUAGAGUUUAGUCCAAGAAAAACGUACCUUAGCCCUUUUGGUAGCGGUUUCAAAUCUACUUUGGGUGCCUUGAGUUCAGACCAGUCAUCGGAUACUAAGUUGGCUUCAGAGGGGUUGUUGUGGUCGAGUAGCUCGGUCGAGUACACAGAAUGGGCUGUUGGUCGAGUGAUGAGGUCGAGUAUAUAUUCCUCCCUUGCUCUUUCACCCAAAUCUUCAUACUCUCCUGGAUUCUCAACUGCUUUGUGUUCAUCUAACAGCUUUUGGUACCCCAAAAUCUCCAAAUGUAAAUCUCCUUCCUUGCUAUCCUUUGUUAGAGCACUCUGUAGAUGAUCUGUUUCUCCCAGCUCUUCUAGCAUUUCGUCAGCUAACAUAUCCAUCUCUUCAAUCCAGAAAACAUUUCCUUCUAUCGUAGGCUUCUUCAUGGUGUUGGUGAUAUCGAAGGUCAUCUUGAGAUCUCUCCCGAGGUUAAGAUCAAUUUUUCCCUUCUUAACAUCAAUGAUAGCUCCAGCUGUAGCUAAAAAUGGUCUUCCCAAUAUCAAAGGGUCUUUGGAUUCUUCAUCCAUUUCUAAAACCACAAAGUCUGUCGGUACUUCGACCAUGCCUAUCAUGACUGGUAAGUCCUCCAGCAGACCAUGGGGAAUCCUAACAGAUCUGUCAGCUAGGAUCAAGGAUAUAUUGCAGGGCUUGUACUUGUUGAAGCCCAGUUUCUUUGCCACAGAGAGAGGCAUGAGACUCACAGAUGCACCUAGAUCACAGAGGCACUUGUUGAAGGCUAAAGGGCCUAGAGCGCAAGGUAAGGUGAAGGAACCAGGAUCUCCUAGUUUUUUUGGAAUGAUCUUCUGCUGAAUGAUCGCACUGCAUUCGUGACUUAGCACCACCAUUCCUUGGACUUCUUUGAUCCUCUCUGUAAUCAUGUCUUUCACAUAUUUGUUAGAGUCUGGUAUAAGUGCAAGACAGUCGACAAGAGGCAUCGUGACUUCAAGAUUUUUCAAUUGUUUCUCCAGGAGAGCUUUGUACUUCUGUAUCAUGACCUUCUUGAAUCGACCAGGAAAUGGGAGUGGGGGCUUGUAAGGUGGGGGAACGAAGACGUUGUCUUUGGUUUUGGCGGCAGCUGGUUUUUCAACAAGAGGAGAUGCUGCAGGAGCUAGUAGUCGAGUAGGUUGGUCGAGUAUAGGCUCUUCUAUUGCUUUUUCAGCGGAAUUUCCAUUUUGACAGAAAUCCUCCCCAUCUUGAUCCACACUGUCCUCAGUGUUCUGGUUCGGGCUCUCUUUUGUGGGUAAUUCUUUACCGCUUCUAAGUGUGAUAGCAUGAGCGUACUCCUCUGAAUUUGACAUUGAUUUUCUGGAAGGUCCUGUAAAUUUGGGUGCUGCGGUCGACCCAGUUUGGCCUUCUAUGUAUCUAAUCUUAGAUGUCAGUGCUUCAACCUUGAUAUUGAUAUCAUUGUAACUGCACUCAACCUUGUUGUGAAUUUCUGCCAUCCUUUUGGACAAAUCCAUUGCUCUUGUUGCUUGCCCUUGUAGAAUCUGCUGUAACAUGUUCUUCAAGUCUGAAUCUGGAGUUGUUGAAGCUGGUUGUUGUUGCUGCUGUGUGAACCCAGGUGGUGGAAGUUGCUGCUGAUAGUUGCCCUGAUACUGCUGCUUAGGAACAUACCCUUGACCUUGGUUGUAUGGAACAAAGGGCUUGGGUUGAUUCUGCUGCUGUGAAGGGUAAACUUGGUCCUGCGGGUUUGCAACGUUUGUACUUCUGUAAGACAGAUUGGGAUGGUUCUGCUUGAAGUUGUUGAAACCUUUGUUGUAACCUCCUUGGUUCUGCACAUAACUGACCUCUUCUGACUGCAUAGUCUCCCCAUCCUGAACUUGGAACGUCUCAUCAUCACCCAGAAAAUGAAUGUGCUUUUGUUGCACAAGUAGUAGCUUGUCCAGUUUGUCAUUCAUGGCUUUCAUUUCCCUGCGGUGCUUCUCAUCAGAAUCAGAGCUGGUGCGGACGCUUCUAUCAUAAUCUUCAUUAUAGUUGCCAUCCGACUGAGCUAAGUUCUCUACCAGCUCCCAUCCGUCUUCAACGUCUUUGUUGAGAAAGUUCCCGUUAGAAGCGGUAUCUAGAAGCAUCCUGAUCUUUGGGAGGACACCUCUGUAGAGAGUGCUGAGAAGCGAAGCUUUGGAGAAACCAUGAUGAGGACAUUGCGUCUGAUAACCUUUGAAGCGCUCCCAUGCUUCGCAGAAAGUCUCAUUAUUCGUCUGAGUGAAACCGGAGAUAUCAUUCCUUAGUCUCGCAGUCCUGGAGUUUGAGAAAAACUUAGCCAAGAAGGCUUUCUUGCAGUCAUUCCAGGAGGUGAUAGAGCCUUGAGGAAGCGACUUUUCCCACUGAUGGGCUUUGUCUCCAAGAGAGAAAGGAAACAAUCUGAGCUUGAAGCCAUCCUCACUGACUCCAUUGAUCUUUGUUAGGCUGCAGAGCCUAUCAAACUCGUCCAGGUGAUCGAGUGGAUCCUCCAUACGGAGGCCGUGGAACUUGUUGGUCUGAACCAUGGCAAUGAGACCGCUCUUGAUCUCAAAGUUGUUGUUCUGCACAGGUGGAGGCACGAUGCCAUUAUGCUGAUUGUGGUUGCGUGGUGCAUCGCCUGCACCUAUGUUGUUUGGUUGCACCUGCUCAUCAACAACUGCAGCCAUUGUGUCUGUUUCUGUCUGUGUUCUGAGUUGGCGUGCAAUACGGUCGAUGUUAUCGUUGAACAGGAGAUUCUGAUUUCCUCGUGACCGUGUUUGCAUACAACGAGUACCAACUGGUGAAGCUAGUGAUUCGUAGUACCUGAAUCAAAACAGACAAACAGAAAUAACACAAAGUUAGUAACUUUCAGAAAAAAUGAAAAAGAACUUGAUCUUAAAUAUUCUGAAAUCUCAAAUAUAGCAAACAAACACCCAAUUGGCAACGGCGCCAAAUUGAUAAUAAGUUUUUAGUCAAUUAUUCCUAAAACACCAAUCAUGUCGUUGUAGUAUUUUAGGUGUCAAUCCAAAUGGGUGUGAUGCAAACAGAUGAGAUGUGAUCAGAGGUCACUAAGUCAAGCCAAGCAAUAACAGUUUUGGGGUUUCUAACAGUCCUAAGCGAACAUGCAGAAAACAGAAGCAAUAACAGAAUUACUAAAAUCACUCGACCACAACAGGCUGAUGCCAGAAGUAGGAUGUGGUCGAGUAACAGGUCGAGUAAUAAACAGGAUAUGAAACAGCUAUACUCGACUGCACAGUCUGUUGCCAGACACUGGGUGUGGUCGAGUAAGUUGGUCGAGUGAUUGUAAAAACUAAGAAACAGGCAAUGAGAACGAUUAAGCGAUAACGAUAAAACAGAGAAAUAAGAUAGACGAGAAAUUCCUAAGGAUGGGGUAAUCGAGUAGAGUGGUGUCCUAGCCUAUUCGAAUGGUUAACAAGCGCAAUCAAGCUAUCCCUAGACAACAGGUUCAACAACAGACCAAUUCACUCCCGUGAUAGAAAUCCUCAAGCAAAGCUAGCCCAGACUAAUUCCCAUUAACGGAAUCUAACUAUGAAGGCAAUACGAACAGACUGAUAAAGUCAAUAAACGCUCUAAACGGCCAAUCCCUUGGGAUAGAGACGCAUAUCUCAGGAACUAGUGGAUCAAGCAUUCCAUCGAACACCUUCUGGGUGCGGGAAUGCUUGGGAUCGAAUUCCAGUUGAUCAGAAAGAAAUAAGCAGUAAACGCAACUAGUCCUAAAGGGAUUCAAUCAAUUCUAAAACUUAACCAUUCUACAGACUACGGAUUCCACAACUACUCUAUCCCAUCCCUAAGAAUUCUAAGUCACUACUCAGACAGCAUGCUCAAAGACAUAAACGUAGGUAAACGAUAAUAUUGCAUAAGUAAAGAGAUAAAGAGUAGAGAAACAAGAUGACUAAUGAAAUCAAACGCGGAAUCUCAAUAACUUGGAAAAUUCGCGAACCACAGGUUGCAGAAGCAAAAGCGGCGUAGCAGAGUAAAACUGAAAAUAAAACUGAAGCAAAAACGCAAUGUCGACUAGAUGUCUCAGGACAGAACCCUAAAACAUCUAUUUAUACCAAACGAAAUAAAAUGAUAGUAGACGGGCCAAUAACCUAAUCGCCCGGCCCAUAGAGUGAUAAUGGGCCGAGAUGGGCUUCGUGAUCCGAUGGAGGUCCAGGCCGCUUCCAAACACUUUGUCUUCUCUUCUUUUCUUCCUUGUGCUCAGCUUGUCUGGUUGAGUGCGGAUUUGAGUAGACUGUGAAGACGUGAUCGAGUGUCCGGUCGAGUGAUGGUGAUGGUGGUGAGUGAUGAUACUCGACCAGGGGGUCGAGUAACGUGGUAGAGUGAAUGGUCGAGUGUGGUCAGGUGGUGUGGCGAAGCGGUACUCGACCAGGGGGUCGAGUAAUGUCGUCGAGUGGCCUGAGCUGAGGUUACUCGA
rnacentral:sRNA from 1 species